AAGUCGUAACAAGGUUUCCGUUGGUGAACCAGCGGAAGGAUCAUUACUGAGAUCAUGCCCUUAACGGGGUAGACCUCCCACCCUGUGUUAUUACGAUUGUUGCUUUGGCAGGCCGCCCUCGGGCGCUCGGCUUCGGCUGAGGCGUGCCUGCCAGAAGACCCAAACCCUGUAUUUAGUGUUGUCCGAGUACUAUUUUAAUACGUUAAAACUUUCAACAACGGAUCUCUUGGUUCUGGCAUCGAUGAAGAACGCAGCGAAAUGCGAUAAGUAAUGUGAAUUGCAGAAUUCAGUGAAUCAUCGAAUCUUUGAACGCACAUUGCGCCCCUUGGUAUUCCGGGGGGCAUGCCUGUUCGAGCGUCAUUUCAACCCUCAGGCUCCGGCUUGGUCUUGGGCUCUGCCGGUUACGGCUUGCCUUAAAAUCAGUGGCGGUGGCAGUCGAGCUCUACGCGUAGUAGCUAUAUUUUCGCGAUUGAGUCUCGCUGUGCGCUGGCCAGCAACCCCUAAUUUUCUAUGGUUGACCUCGGAUCAGGUAGGGAUACCCGCUGAACUUAAGCAUAUCAAUAAGCGGAGGAAAAGAAACCAACCGGGAUUACCUCAGUAACGGCGAGUGAAGCGGUAACAGCUCAAAUUUGAAAUCUGGCCUCGGCCCGAGUUGUAAUUUGUAGAAGAUGCUUCGGGUGUGGCUCCGGUCUAAGUUCCUUGGAACAGGACGUCAUAGAGGGUGAGAAUCCCGUAUGUGACUGGGUGCCUCCGCCUGUGUGAAGCUCUUUCGACGAGUCGAGUUGUUUGGGAAUGCAGCUCAAAAUGGGUGGUAUAUUUCAUCUAAAGCUAAAUAUUGGCCAGAGACCGAUAGCGCACAAGUAGAGUGAUCGAAAGAUGAAAAGCACUUUGGAAAGAGAGUUAAACAGUACGUGAAAUUGUUGAAAGGGAAGCGUUUGCAACCAGACUUGCGCGCUGCCGAUCAUCCGGUGUUCUCACCGGUGCACUCGGUUGCGUUCAGGCCAGCAUCGGUUUGGGUGGCUGGAUAAAGGCCUUGGGAAUGUAGCUUCUUUCGGGGAGUGUUAUAGCCCUGGGUGCAAUGCAGCCUACCUGGACCGAGGACCGCGCUUCGGCUAGGAUGCUGGCGUAAUGGUUGUAAACGACC
rnacentral:rRNA from 1 species